GAUGAACGCUGACAGAAUGCUUAACACAUGCAAGUCAACUUGAACUUCGGUUUGGGUGGCGGACGGGUGAGUAACGCGUAAAGAACUUGCCUCACAGAUAGGGACAACAUUUGGAAAACGAAUGCUAAUACCUGAUAUUAUGUAGUUUUAGGGCAUCCUAGAAUUAUGAAAGCUAUAUGCACUGUGAGAGAGCUUUGCGUCCCAUUAGCUAGUUGGAGAGGUAACGGCUCACCAAGGCGAUGAGUGGGUAGCCGGCCUGAGGAGGGUGAUCGGCCACGAAGGGGACUGAGACACGGCCCUUACUCCUACGGGAGGCAGCAGUGGGGAAUAUUGGACAAUGGACCAAGAGUCUGAUCCAGCAAUUCUGUGUGCACGAUGAAGUUUUUCGGAAUGUAAAGUGCUUUCAGUUGGGAAGAAAAAAAUGACGGUACCAACAGAAGAAGUGACGGCUAAAUACGUG
rnacentral:rRNA from 1 species